rnacentral:rRNA from 1 species
UACGAAGGGGGCUAGCGUUGUUCGGAAUCACUGGGCGUAAAGCGCACGUAGGCGGACCUUUAAGUCAGGGGUGAAAGCCUGGAGCUCAACUCCAGAACUGCCUUUGAUACUGGAGGUCUCGAGUGUGGAAGAGGUUGGUUGAACUGCGAGUGUAGAGGUGAAAUUCGUAGAUAUUCGCAAGAACACCAGUGGCGAAGGCGGCCAACUGGUCCAUUACUGACGCUGAGGCACGAAAGCGUGGGGAGCAAACGGG